AAAUUGAAGAGUUUGAUCAUGGCUCAGAUUGAACGCUGGCGGCAGGCCUAACACAUGCAAGUCGAACGGUAACAGGAAGCAGCUUGCUGCUUUGCUGACGAGUGGCGGACGGGUGAGUAAUGUCUGGGAAACUGCCUGAUGGAGGGGGAUAACUACUGGAAACGGUGGCUAAUACCGCAUAACGUCGCAAGACCAAAGAGGGGGACCUUCGGGCCUCUUGCCAUCAGAUGUGCCCAGAUGGGAUUAGCUAGUUGGUGAGGUAACGGCUCACCAAGGCGACGAUCCCUAGCUGGUCUGAGAGGAUGACCAGCCACACUGGAAUUGAGACACGGUCCAGACUCCUACGGGAGGCAGCAGUGGGGAAUAUUGCACAAUGGGCGCAAGCCUGAUGCAGCCAUGCCGCGUGUAUGAAGAAGGCCUUAGGGUUGUAAAGUACUUUCAGCGGGGAGGAAGGUGUUG
rnacentral:rRNA from 1 species